AGUAAAAUAACUUAGCUUUCAUUUAGAUAGUGUCAGGAACAUAAAUUAUGACUAAGGUUUGGUGGAAGAUUUUAAUUCAAAACUUAUGAAAACAAGACAUUUUUAUUCAGUGCCAGAGCCGGCUUCAGCCAGGUCGGUAAUGAAAGGAUUAAGUUAAAAUGUAAAAAAUUAUAC